CCUACGGGAGGCAGCAGUGAGGAAUAUUGGUCAAUGGGCUUACGCCUGAACCAGCCAAGUCGCGUGAGGGAAGACUGCCCUAUGGGUUGUAAACCUCUUUUGUCAGGGAGCAACGCCGGCUACGUGUAGCCGGACUGAGAGUACCUGAAGAAAAAGCAUCGGCUAACUCCGUGCCAGCAGCCGCGGUAAUACGGAGGAUGCGAGCGAUAUCCGGCUUUAUUGGGUUUAAAGGGUGCGUAGGCGGAAUGCCAAGUCAGCGGUAAAAUUGCGGGGCUCAACCUCGCUCCGCAGUUGAAACUGGCGUUCUUGAGUGGGCGAGAAGUAUGCGGAAUGCGUGGGGUAGCGGUGAAAUGCAAAGAUAUCACGCAGAACUCCGAUUGCGAAGGCAGCAUGCCGGCGCCCAACUGACGCUGAAGCACGAAAGCGUGGGGAUCGAACAGGAUUAGAUACCCGAGUAGUC
rnacentral:rRNA from 1 species